rnacentral:rRNA from 1 species
AGCGAACGUUAGCGGCGGGCCUAACACAUGCAAGUCGAGCGAGAAAGUGGCUUCGGCCACGAGUAAAGCGGCGGACGGGUGAGUAACACGUAGGUAAUCUUCCCUUGAGCGGGGGACAACGGUCCGAAAGGACCGCUAAUACCGCAUAAGUUCUCAGCGGCUCUGGUCGCUGAGAGGAAAGCUAGGCAGCAAUGUCCGGCACUCGAGGAGGAGCCUGCGUCGCAUCAGCUAGUUGGUGGGGUAACGGCCUACCAAGGCGAAGACGCGUAGCUGGUCUGAGAGGAUGAUCAGCCACACUGGGACUGAGACACGGCCCAGACACCUACGGGUGGCAG